CUUCGGUUACAUCGGUGGACAGGUGGUGCAUGGUUGUCGUCAGCUCGUGUCGUGAGAUGUUGGGUUAAGUCCCGCAACGAGCGCAACCCCUAUUGUUAGUUGCCAUCAUUCGGUUGGGCACUCUAGCGAGACUGCCGGUAAUAAACCGGAGGAAGGUGGGGAUGACGUCAAAUCAUCAUGCCCCUUAUGACCUGGGCUACACACGUGCUACAAUGGUUGGUACAACGAGUUGCGAGUCGGUGACGGCGAGCUAAUCUCUUAAAGCCAAUCUCAGUUCGGAUUGUAGGCUGCAACUCGCCUACAUGAAGUCGGAAUCGCUAGUAAUCGCGGAUCAGCACGCCGCGGUGAAUACGUUCCCGGGCCUU
rnacentral:rRNA from 1 species